CAUUUGUGUUCUACUGAAGAAACAAAGUCACCUACAUCUUGGAUGCCCUGGGGUGUACUUGUGAUCAACCACUCAAUAAUGAGAAUCAAGUCAUUUGGAUCAAAAGGCUUAUUUCCUCUUUCACAUGUUACUUUGAAUCAAUAGGAUUUAUCCAAAGCCAAAUGAUCUGAAAUCCACUCAGGUCAGUCGCCUUCCAGCACGCUGUCAGUUCCAGAUUUCUCAGUGGAAGAAGGAGAGAAUGGAAUAAAACUGAAGAUACAGGUGACCUUCAUUCUCCAG